UACGGGGGGAGCAAGCGUUGUUCGGAUUUACUGGGCGUAAAGGGCGCGUAGGCGGCCACCGCAAGUCGACUGUGAAAUCUCCGGGCUUAACCCGGAAAGGUCAGCCGAUACUGCGGGGCUAGAGUGCAGAAGGGGCAACUGGAAUUCUCGGUGUAGCGGUGAAAUGCUUAGAUAUCUUCAAGAACACCGAUAGUGUAGACAGUUUACUAGGCUCAAACUGACGCUGAGGCACGAAAGUGUGGGGAUCAAACAGG
rnacentral:rRNA from 1 species